UACGUAGGGAGCAAGCGUUGUCCGGAAUCAUUGGGCGUAAAGCGCGCGUAGGUGGCCACAUAAGUCCGUUGUGAAAGUCAAAGGCUCAACCUUUGAAAGCCGAUGGAUACUGUGUGGCUAGAGUACGGAAGAGGCGAGUGGAAUUCCUGGUGUAGCGGUGGAAUGCGCAGAUAUCAGGAGGAACACCAAUAGCGAAGGCAGCUCGCUGGGACGUUACUGACACUGAGACGCGAAAGCGUGGGGAGCAAACAGG
rnacentral:rRNA from 1 species